CCUCCCAUCGAUACGCCGCCGAUCCCUGCGGAGCUUCCCUCCCCAAUCUGAUCUGACAGAGAGAGUGCUAGAUCCGGCCGGAGGAGCCGCCAUAGAGCCUCCACGUCGGUGGAGCAGCACCUCCUGCCACGGACGCCGUCGCCACCUCCUGCCUUACGACCCUUUGCCCUGACUCCGUCCCCAAGCGCCGCUCCCGCACGCAACCCUAACCCUAGCCCGCCAUGCCCCGCUGCCUCGCCGCUUGAGCCGCGCUGAUGGAGCCUGAGCAGCGGUGGCCGACCCCGUCGCCGCCGCCGAGCCAGUGGACGAGGAGAAGGAGAAGGAGGAGGAGACGGAGGCGGUCGAGGAUGAGGAGAACACGCUGCUGGACCGUGCACAGCCUGAUCCGACGGGUCCCUUUGCACAUGUGCAGACUUGGGCAAUAUGUGAUACUGUGUUUUGCAGUUCGUCAAUGGACCAAUGCCUAAUCUCCCCAAGGUUGAUGUUUCACUGGACCCGGUGAAGGAGUUGAGCAGAGUAAUAUCUGAGCGAAAAUUUUGAGGGGCGUGCCUUGGUUGUGCUCUCAGCCAGGUUAUUUUACGAGGGUUGUGUGCACUGAACCCCAUUUCUCUGGAUCAAGGGACGGUGAACAAGAUGGGAAUGAGGAGGAUGCGACCUAUAGAUGGUUGCUAUGGAUCGGGAGGUUGAUACUGAACAUCAGUUUACUACCAAUCCGGAGUAGUAAUAUUGGAUUACAGGUCAUGGGUUAGUAGUUAACUGCAGAAAUCAGAAUAUUGGAUAGCAGUAACUAAGGCCAUUGGCAAUUUCUAUCAUAUAUCAUAAUUUAUUUGUGUGAUUCAUUUACCAACUACAUGUUUCUAUUUGUUUCCUAUAUUUUGUUUGUUCCUGAAUAUUUUAUGAAUUGUGCAUUUCUAUUUUACUCCCUCUGUUCCUAAAUGUAGUGUGCAUAAAAUUUCUUAGAAGUAAAACAUUGCUUGGUUUGACCAAGUUUAGUGAGAAAAGUAUCAACAAAAAUAAUACCAAAUAAAUUUAAUAUAAAUAUAUGCUUAGUGGGCAUCUAAUGUUAUUUACUUAAUACUAUAGAUGUAGAUAUUUGUCCUUUAUAAAUGUAGUCAAAGUAGGAGGAGUUUGACUUUUAAAGUUUCCUAUGCGCACUACAUUUAGGAAUAGAGGGAGUAAUACAUAAGACUCUUUUUCAUGCAAUUUACUCAAUGGCCUAUAUGAGAGGCCCUAAAUAAAGCUAUUCCUCAUUUGUACGAUUUCUUACUUAUAUAGAUCAAAAUAUGAAAUUCUCUGCAGGUUAACUAAUACAUGCAUCAGCUUUGUAUCAUAAAGAUUUCACCAUCCCAAGGUAAUGGAAAUAAGUUCACAAGAUUCUCAUGUUGAGGUCUGUACAAAGAGAUACAUGGCAAUGUCUGUGUGCUGAAAGGAGAAACUCACUGUCAAAGCUAUAAUCCCUGAUGCUAAAGCCUGCAUGUUCAGAUCUGCAGAGUUUACUCAUAUUACUGUAUGAAUGAUUAAUACAGAGGGAGCCCUUUUGGCAGGUCAUUUAAUCAUUUAAUCGUAGGUACAUUAUCUCAGGAGUGCACAAGCGCGCCUACUCACGGAAUCGCCCAGCUCACGGAAUCGCCUAGCUCACGUUCUCCUCGGGAUAUGCCAUGAAGCUGUUAUUUCAUCUGUAUAGCACAUGGCUGGUCCCACGUGCAUGCUGAACGGCCGUUAAGGGAACGACGGCGUCAUGGUCAAAACGUCACGCGACUUCGGAUGCAAAACGGCACGUAACAUUGAUGUAUGUAUGCACGUGAGCACCCUAGGUGGGGUCACUACGUGAUUACAUUAUAUUUAUUUUUGCGGGGUCUGAUAAGAUUAUACUUAAUUGAGGAAUCCGGUUGUGAAAAAGAUUAUUGAGGACUGGCCGGUCAUUGUCCAUUUACGCAUCUGGGCGCGUCCGCGGGCGUUUGAAGGGUUGGAUUUAUGAUAUCCGGUUGUAGAUGCUCUAACG